GAUGAACGCUGGCGGCGUGCUUAACACAUGCAAGUCGAACGAUGAAGCCCAGCUUGCUGGGUGGAUUAGUGGCGAACGGGUGAGUAACACGUGAGUAACCUGCCCUUAACUCUGGGAUAAGCCUGGGAAACUGGGUCUAAUACCGGAUAGGAGCGUCCACCGCAUGGUGGGUGUUGGAAAGAUUUAUCGGUUUUGGAUGGACUCGCGGCCUAUCAGCUUGUUGGUGAGGUAAUGGCUCACCAAGGCGACGACGGGUAGCCGGCCUGAGAGGGUGACCGGCCAAACUGGGACUGAGACACGGCCCAGACUCCUACGGGAGGCAGCAGUGGGGAAUAUUGCACAAUGGGCGCAAGCCUGAUGCAGCGACGCCGCGUGGGGGAUGACGGCCUUCGGGUUGUAAACCUCUUUCAGUAGGGAAGAAGCGAAAGUGACGGUACCUGCAGAAGAAGCACCGGCUAACUACGUG
rnacentral:rRNA from 1 species